rnacentral:rRNA from 1 species
GAAUAUUGGUCAAUGGAUGCAAGUCUGAACCAGCCAUGCCGCGUGCAGGAAGAAGGCCUUCUGGGUUGUAAACUGCUUUUGCCGGGGGAUAAAAAGUCCAUGCGUGGACAAUUGAAGGUACCCGGUGAAUAAGCCACGGCUAACUACGUGCCAGCAGCCGCGGUAAUACGUAGGUGGCAAGCGUUGUCCGGAUUUAUUGGGUUUAAAGGGUGCGUAGGCGGCCUAUUAAGUCAGUUCUGAAAUAUCCCGGCUUAACCGGGAGGGUGGGAUUGAUACUGAUGGGCUUGAGUGGACUCGAGGUAGGCGGAAUUGACGGUGUAGCGGUGAAAUGCUUAGAUAUCGUCAAGAACACCGAUAGUGUAGACAGCUUACUAGAUUUCAACUGACGCUGAGGCACGAAAGUGUGGGGAUCAAACAGG